rnacentral:rRNA from 1 species
AACAAACGCUGGCGGCGUGUUUUAAGCAUGCAAGUUGAGCGGCAAGGAGGAGAGAUCCUCCCUAGAGCAGCGGACUGGUGAGUAACGCGUGGGUAAUCUAUCUUAGGCAUGGGGAUAGUCACUAGAAAUAGUGGGUAAUACCGAAUAAGUUCCAUAAGGGGAGGACUUAUGGAAGAAAGGUGCUACGGCACUGGCCUUAGGUGAGCUCGCGUCCCAUUAGCUAGUUGGUGAGGUAAAGGCCCACCAAGGCGAUGAUGGGUAGCCGGCCUGAGAGGGUGUACGGCCACACUGGGACUGAGAUACGGCCCAGACUCCUACGGGAGGCAGCAGCUAAGAAUAUUCCGCAAUGGACGAAAGUCUGACGGAGCGACGCCGCGUGGAUGAAGAAGGCCGAAAGGUUGUAAAGUUCUUUUGCUAGGGGAGAAUAAGUGAGGGAGGGAAUGCCCUCAUGAUGACAAGGACUAGCGAAUAAGCCCCGGCAACUACGUGCCAGCAGCCGCGGUAAA